rnacentral:rRNA from 1 species
GAACGCCCUUUUGCUUUGGCAGGAGGGAGUGGCGGACGGGUGAGUAACACAUGGGUGACCGACCCUUUGGUGAGGAAUACCGGCGAGAAAUCGUCGACAAGACCGCAUAGGCUUCCUUUAGGAAGCAAAGCUCCGCAAGGGGCGCCAGAGGACGGGCCUGUGGCCGAUUAGCUAGUUGGGGAGGUAAAAGCCCCCCAAGGCGACGAUCGGUAGCUGGUCUGAGAGGAUGAUCAGCCACACUGGGAUUGAGAACGGCCCAGACUCCUACGGGAGGCAGCAGUGAGGAAUUUUCGGCAAUGGGCGCAAGCCUGACCGAGCAACGCCGCGUGCAGGAGGAAGGUCUUCGGAUCGUAAACUGCUUUUCUCGGGGACGAGUUACGGACGGUACCCGAGGAAGAAGCCCCGGCUGACUACGUG